UGGCCCGGUGGACAGGGAGAAACAGCCGAUCUUCCCUGCAGGUGGACUGGCACGAGGAGGAGUGGGAGAAAGUGUGGCUGAACGUGGACAAGAGCCUAGAGUGCAUCAUUCAGCGUGUGGACAAGCUGCUGCAGAAGGAGCGGCUGCAUGGCGAGGGCUGUGAGGAUGUCUUCCCCUGUGCAGGCAGCUGCACCAGCAAGAAAGGUAACCCGGACAGCCACGCCUACUGGAUCAGACCAGAAGACCCCUUCUGUGAUGUCCCCUCCUCACCAUGCCCCUCCACCAUGCCCUCCGCUGCAUGCCAUCCUCAUCUGACCACACGUGCGUAUGCAUCCAUGCUUCCCAUGUGCUGCCUCCACUUCACCUUGUGCUGCUUCCGUUUAUCUGUGUCUCUGACUCCAUGCCCUCCUCCCCCACGCAGACUGCAGGGAGGGCUGCCAGGUGGAGCGGGGGCGUCCCAGUGCAUGGAGCAGCAGGCAGUGAGAGCGGAGUCUCCGGUUGCCUUUCCAUGUAACUGGAGCCCAUGUGUGAUUCUGCAUCUCUGCCAGUCAGAAUCUCAGGGUCCUCUUGGGAUACACCACCAUGGCUGUAAGGGUUGGGCUCCUGGGCUUUUCAGGUUUGUAAAGCAAUCUGAG
rnacentral:sRNA from 1 species